rnacentral:tRNA from 1 species
GCGCUGGUACGAGGGGAGACUCCCGGCGACGCGAGCGAGCCGACUCUUAAUCCGCAGGUUCUGGGUUCGAAUCCCAGGGGGCGCACCA